rnacentral:rRNA from 1 species
CAGGUAACAUUAAAUCGUACCCCAAACCGACACAGGUGGUCAGGUAGAGAAUACCAAGGCGCUUGAGAGAACUCGGGUGAAGGAACUAGGCAAAAUGGUGCCGUAACUUCGGGAGAAGGCACGCUGGCAUGUAGGUGAAGUCCCUCGCGGAUGGAGCUGAAGCCAGUCGAAGAUACCAGCUGGCUGCAACUGUUUAAUAAAAACACAGCACUGUGCAAACACGAAAGUGGACGUAUACGGUGUGACGCCUGCCCGGUGCUGGAAGGUUAAUUGAUGGGGUCAGCCGCAAGGCGAAGCUCUUGAUCGAAGCCCCAGUAAACGGCGGCCGUAACUAUAACGGUCCUAAGGUAGCGAAAUUCCUUGUCGGGUAAGUUCCGACCUGCACGAAUGGCGUAAUGAUGGCCAGGCUGUCUCCACCCGAGACUCAGUGAAAUUGAACUCGCUGUGAAGAUGCAGUGUACCCGCGGCAAGACGGAAAGACCCCGUGAACCUUUACUAUAGCUUGACACUGAACAUUGAGCCUUGAUGUGUAGGAUAGGUGGGAGGCUUUGAAGCGUGGACGCCAGUCUGCGUGGAGCCAUCCUUGAAAUACCACCCUUUAAUGUUUGAUGUUCUAACUCGGCCCCAUAAUCUGGGGUGAGGACAGUGUCUGGUGGGUAGUUUGACUGGGGCGGUCUCCUCCCAAAGAGUAACGGAGGAGCACGAAGGUUAGCUAAUCACGGUCGGACAUCGUGAGGUUAGUGCAAAGGCAUAAGCUAGCUUGACUGCGAGAGUGACGGCUCGAGCAGGUACGAAAGUAGGUCUUAGUGAUCCGGUGGUUCUGAAUGGAAGGGCCAUCGCUCAACGGAUAAAAGGUACUCCGGGGAUAACAGGCUGAUACCGCCCAAGAGUUCAUAUCGACGGCGGUGUUUGGCACCUCGAUGUCGGCUCAUCACAUCCUGGGGCUGAAGUAGGUCCCAAGGGUAUGGCUGUUCGCCAUUUAAAGUGGUACGCGAGCUGGGUUUAGAACGUCGUGAGACAGUUCGGUCCCUAUCUGCCGUGGGCGUUGGAAGAUUGAGAGGGGUUGCUCCUAGUACGAGAGGACCGGAGUGAACGCACCACUGGUGUUCGGGUUGUCAUGCCAAUGGCAUUGCCCGGUAGCUAAGUGCGGAAAAGAUAAGCGCUGAAAGCAUCUAAGCGCGAAACUUGCCUCAAGAUGAGUCUUCCCUGGGCCUUUAAGGCCCCUGAAGGAACGUUUAAGACUAAGACGUUGAUAGGCUGGGUGUGUAAGUGCAGCGAUGCAUUGAGCUAACCAGUACUAAUGAUCCGUGAGGCUUAACCUU